GCUGCCCGCAGUGCCGCUCGCGCGUAACGGCCUCUCCAACGGCGCCGCCGAGGUCGCGCGGGUCGAGCUGUGCAAGAUUGCAGUUUGUCUGAUAAAAUGGGCAGUAAAAACAAAAGUGCAGUUAGAGAUUAGCCAUGAAACCGAAACUACAGAAGGAACUACAGCUGAUAAAGUAAGCUUUCAGGUAUUUGGUCUCUGCUGCUACAAGAGCUGUCCCAGAGUGGUGUCAAUCUGUCUCAGGGUCAAAUUUGGAUACAUUUUCUGCUCAAGACUGAAAGCA
rnacentral:lncRNA from 1 species